UAAGUACUCCCUCCGUCCCAAACUUCUUGUCUUAGAUUUGUCUAAAUACAGAUAUUUAGACAAAUCUAAGACAAGAAUUUUGGGACGGAGGGAGUAUGUU
rfam:Triticum aestivum genome assembly, contig: Triticum_aestivum_CS42_TGACv1_scaffold_570432_7AS